rnacentral:rRNA from 1 species
UACAGAGGGGGCAAGCGUUGUUCGGAAUUACUGGGCGUAGAGGGCGCGUAGGCGGCCUGUUAAGUCGAACGUGAAAUCCCCGGGCUCAACCCGGGAACUGCGUCCGAUACUGGCAGGCUUGAAUUCGGGAGAGGGAUGCGGAAUUCCAGGUGUAGCGGUGAAAUGCGUAGAUAUCCGGAGGAACACCGGUGGCGAAGGCGGCAUCCUGGACCGAGAUUGACGCUGAGGCGCGAAAGCCAGGGGAGCAAACGGG